CUGCUCGCUUCAGCAGUACAUAUACUAAAGUUAGAAAUAUACAGAGAAGAUUAGCAUGGCCCCUGCACAAAGAUAACACACAAAUUUAGUAAAGCAUUUCACACUUUU
rnacentral:snRNA from 1 species